UAUAAAAAUAUCUCAGUUAUUUAAAAAAAAACAUAAAUAUCCCUAAAUUCAAGUUCAAGGUAGGUCCUUUUAAAAUACAUAAAUAUUCUUAAAUCAAAGGUACGGAUGUUGCAUGUGGGCAUAGGAGAAGAGGAGAAUGGUUUACUCAUAAGACAUCAAUUAACUACAUAACAUCAAACAUGAUGGCUAGAAUUCCUAAAUUAUCACAAUCACUUGGGAUGGCCUAUGGAUGUCAUUACACUAAUAGGUCAUAUGCAUGACUCAUCAUGGGUUGCACAGGAGAAAGGAGACUCAAUUAAUCUAACAUGAAUCAUGAUGUUUUCACAUACAUUUUCCAUUUUGUUGGCAUGGGUUGAUGUAAGAAACAUGUAGGCUAUGUUUGGUUCUCGUAAAAUUUGAGGGAAAAUGUAAGGGAAAAAAAUAGAAAGAAAAAACAGA
rnacentral:lncRNA from 1 species